GUGUGGUAGCUAUCAACCCAGAAACAGUCUUGUUAUAACUAAGUGUGGAAAUACUAUCAAUAUUUUAUCGAACAACAAAUUUUAUUUUAUAUUAUCGAACAACAAGGAACAAAUCUUUCGGUAAUAGUUGAAAUCGAGAUAUCCCAACGGAGGUACCACUCAUUAGCUUCCAUUAAACACAAUCAACGCGCCGAGGAGCUGGUGCUUUGAAAAGUGCAUCGGGAAAAAUGAAAUCACGUCGCGCCACUGCAACAAAUUCAAGUUAAUUGAAUUCCAAACAAAAUCCCCAUUGCAAAUGAAAAUACCCAGUUUACGCAGAGAAAAUCUGAAAAAUAUGAAAACUCCGGGUGUCUAGCAGCUGCCGCCAAACUAGUUCAACUUGUUGUAGUCGUUUUUCGCUGGCUCUGGCGUAAUAACAGGGGCCCAAAUUCAAAUCACACAAUCGCAGUGAAACGAACCUCUCUGCACAGUAAUCAAAACACUCGUGGCAAUAAAAACAACACAAAAACUGAUAUCAAAGAGUGUACGGAUGAGAGGAGGAAUGGGGCUGGCUGGGGGCUAAAAGCCAAAGGGAAACCAUAACAAAUCAAAGCACUAAUGAAUAUUGAGAGGCCACUAAAAGGAACACGCGGCAGGAGCAACAAAUUAAUAUCGAAGAAAUACCAAAAUUCACAUAAUAAUAAAUGCAGCUCGACGAGUAGAAGUAGGGCUAAUAAAGAGCCAGUUAGUACGGGAGUAAGGAGCAACUUUUCCACCAGGAUAAUGAAGUGGCUUUGUGCGGGGGAGAAAUGAGGAGAACACCUGCCUAACAACCGAAGGAUCGGAAUGAGACUGGGAUUCAGAACGAGACAGCAACUCUGGCCGAAUGAAGGUAAUAAAAAUCGUAUAAAUAACCAAAGCUAAAGACAACAGCGGCAAAAGGACUUACAGAGCGCUUGAAAUAUUAUACCCAUUGAGGGGGUGGGUAAACUUCGCGGGCGGAAAGGGGGGAAAGGUGAGGGUUGCUCGUUAAUUUGCAAUAAAAUCCGAUUAUAACCACAAAAAUGCGCCCAUACAAGAUAUAUACUCGGCGGUACUUAUGCUCUUAACCAAACCAAACUGAACCGAACCACAACCCUCGCACAGGUGGAAAUAAAAAGCCCGGAAGUCAAUGCCAACUUGUAUCAAUAAGUACAAAGUGUGGGUGGGGCAGGCUUACAUUGAUAUUAAAGCCCAGCUAUAAAUAAGACGCCCUCCAGGCAGGCAAAGCCCACAAAUUAUAGCCCAGGUUUUCGGUAAAGGGGUGAGUUUUCUUCCUCCAGUCCCUUCUCCAGGUGGCGAUUCUCCACCAAACGAGACCGAAUUGAGAUAGCAUUCGAAUUUGCAUCGCCCAAGUGGAAUUGCAGGCGAGUCCUUUCCAAAGGGCAUCAAUUUGCCCAACUGCUUCGGGCUGUCGCCCCAUUUCUCCAAUCGACUUUCAGCCAAAGGCAUUUUUCUCUGAUGGGGAUGAAUAACGUGCAAGGGGUUUUCAUGCUUGAAUAUUAACCAAAUUUCGAACUUUACUUUCUAAGGUGAUUUCUUGCAGGUGAUUUUCUGUUGCUUUUAAAAAUUAUUUAGAAAAACUCACAGUCCUUAUUAUGGAUUGGUACCAAAUGAACACUUCUUUUAACUACCACAAAAUCUCCUGUCAAUUUGUAAUGUCCUGCCCAAGACUUUAUACUCGCCCCAAACGAUUGAGCUUUAAUUUAGACAUUAGUCAAAAAUAUCUGCCCUUUUCGGAAAGGACAUGUCUUCAGUUAGCGCCGAACUCCUUAUUUUACUUCCUGCGCAAACCAACCGCAAAACAAAUAAAAGUGUAAACACUGAUUUGGCACGCGCCUUUCUUAGCCGAAAAUUUAUGCAUAAAAAGCCCGAUCCCCUCUUAGGGCAAGUUGAGCCCCAAUCUCAUAACCCAUACCGGAACACCCCCAAAAAGCCACCCCAAAACACGGUAAUUACCUGAGUCCUUUGCACGCACACAACCAUAACGUGUAUCCUGUGGGCGAGUCCGAUGCAGAAGUUGAAGUUGAAGGUGAGGCAUUCCCACUAGCGGCGCUGUCUGGCAAACUUUUCCUUUAUCAUUAUUAUCGGAGCAACAUGCAUAUGAAUAUGGCUCUGCCCCGAAGUCAUGUCUGCCUUGCCAGCCCAUCCUGAGUCCUGUGUCCUGAGUCCUGUGCGGAAUCCUGUGCGGAGGUGUUAUGGCCGGCUUCCGAGAGGACUUAACCGCUUUUGUAAUGCAUAAUUUUGUGGCCUCGCAACCCCACAUAUAUAUGCAUAAAUAAUUUGAGUAUUUUCGUCGUUGGGUUUUUUCCUUUUAUUUUCGCCUUUCCCGCCAGGUUAGCAUGCGGAAAAAUUUGUCUGCUGGCUUAUUUUAAGCAAAUUAUGUGUAAUUAUUCACAAAUUAACGAGCGAACAAGCGAGAGAGAAGAGGUGGAAGUCAUAUUAAUGUUUAUUAAAUGAACAGGCUGCUGUGGUGUCAGUUUAUUGACUUCGCUUAGAUCGCUUUUUGGUUAGCCGAGCAUUUAUAAUAAUUUCGUCAUUUCCACAAACAAUUUUGCAACAAUUUAGUUAAUUUAUAGUCAGGCCUGCGUUUGCCUUAGCCUUCGAAUAGCCGUUAAAUGCACAAAGGACACGCAACACGACAGACACAAAAAGCCCUUCUCCAGCAGCCACUCCUCUGGAGUUCCCCCUUUAAAAACCCAACCAAGUCGAAGCAAUCCAAAUCCGGUCCCAUCCAGGUCGACGGACGACGGCAAUCAGACGAUAAACUUAUAAAUGCUGCAGACGCCGCAGAAGCCGGCGCAGCCAUACAUAUAGUAAUUAUGGCCAUGGGCCAUAUUUUCCAACCAAACUCGGGGAGUUUGAGCCGACUUCCCUGGGUUCCUCGGUUCCCUGGCAUAACAAAAACCAGAAAGUUUAAGCGCAGUUUGUCGUUGCCAAAGGACAACUAGAGCAGUUGAUGAAGAAGUAAGCCGAAAGGGUUCAGUCUGCAACCGUUUAUUAACCCAGACAAUAAGCAGCUCUUCUCGUAUCCACAAAUUAACGGAAGCUUAAUCAAGUUAGGAAUCCUUUGGUGCGAUUUCGUUUUAGAAAAAUUAGAGGAGAAGGUCAUAUAUAAAUGUUCCGAGGAAUGAGAUUUUGGCAUAACAAAUGCCAAGAUAAUAUCUUAUUAAAUGCUCAAACUUAAAUUGAGAUGAUACCAUAUAAUUACUCCACAAUGCCCGUUUAAGAUAUCAUAAUUGGUUAGAUGUAGAAACAGGAACUCGUAAGAACAUAUGAGGUUUAGCGGGACUUUAUAUAUCCUUAAAGAUUUUUGAAGCCCGCAAACACAAAUAUUACCAAAGUCAUAAUGACAAUUCCAGCCAAAAUAAUCCAUCUAUUAAUCUUCACGGUCGUAUUAAAUCAUUAUUUAAUUGCCCACAACGAAGAUUAGCCAAUUUCAAGGGGCAUUCCACUCGGUUGGCAACCGCAUCUCAUCAGAAAGUUCGAUUUGGCAAUAUAUCAUCACCGAAGCCGCAAGUGACGAAUACCGGAAAGCUCUUAAAUAAAUGACUAUGCGGUCGAAAUGGAAAUGAAUUAUGAAAUAUUUCCAGAGCCAACUAAUGAGCCGCAGUCGAGUAAAAGUAGCUGUCACAUUAGCACCUUGCGCGAUGUAGACCCGAGAUAAGCUAACGACAGGCCACCAGACCUCGAUGACCCUAAAAACUGCCCAAAGGCCGCCCGGGCACACUUUUAUUUUUCACAAAUGGCAUAAAAAAAAACAUUGACAGGUAUCGGGGAAAAUGAUGUGAUAACAAGAAUAUAUACAUUCGCAUUCACCAGUCGAUGCGAUUCCUAGCAAGCAAAAAAAAGGUCAAAAAUGCCCGAGGACAUCAUAAACGAGAAGGUUCUCCACCAACCCAAGACGGCAAAACAAUAACUGUAGGCAAUUUGGCCGUUCGCAACUGUUUAUUUGUCAAACAUUUUUCUCUUUUUGACAUCUCGACUUCCAGCGGCGACGCCAAAGUCGAAGGAAUCGAAACACGCGCCAUCGUCUUACUGCGAGUCCACCCACUUUUUUGGGCAAAGUCCGGCUCAAAAUGGGCAACCAACUGCGACAAGUUGGGAUUCCCUUUUAUGGGACGAAGACGUCCGAAAAUUGUUAUCGAUGUUUUUGUCAUGUUUGCCUCAAAUUAAAAUCCCCAAUAAACGGUCCAAACUGACAGUUGGGCUCACUGAUAUAUUAUUGUCCUGCCACUGCAUGCUAAGCAGGAAUUGUCCUUCCAUCCGGUGUUCUGUUUUCUGUGUCCUGUGGCCGCUUUUUAAUUGGCUCUCGUGCUGGUGGCCUGGAAAAUUGAAGAUCAAACGUAAGCCAGCACAAAUCCAAGGACGUUUUGUGUGUAAUAAAUAUAAAUGCAAAAUAAAACCCAUCAGUGGCUCGAAUGUAGUUAAA